rnacentral:lncRNA from 13 species
CAGGCUACUUAACAUGAAAAGCACAUGGAUGAAGACCUUUAUGUUGAUACGUUUCCACUUAAUGAAUAAAUCAGAGGGUACGUGUGCACAAUUGAGACGGAGGAAUAUUGUGUUUUGCUGAUGUUUGAAGUAUGACUGAACACGUCACCCUGGUAUUGAACACAGUACUCCGUAGAUCCAAAGAGAAAAAUUUAUGCCAUGCCAUGAAAGGCCACACAGAGAAGCACUGGGUUCAACCAGAAGGAGGAGGUAGCAGUAGAAAUUGUGGGCAGGAGCCUUUAUUUUGGUUGCCAAGGAAGGAACCUGCAAGCGAAGGUAAACAGCUCAACAUACUAAUGUGAGUAAUUUCAGCUGGCUCUGGGGUGUGGGGGCUGCCUUUACUUCUCUGGCACCUGGAUCUGAGGUGAUUAAGGAAGGCAGGUCGUGGUCUAGAAUGUCAAAGCAUGAUAAAGGAGGUGAUUGAUU